rnacentral:lncRNA from 1 species
GCAUAUGGAAGUUCCCAGGCUAGGGGUCAAACUGAAAUUGGAGCCACAGCUGCUGGCCUAUGCCACAGCCAAUGCAGAAUCUGAGCCAUGUCUGUGAACUACACCACAGCUCAUGGCAACACCGGAUCUUGAACCCACUGAGUGAGGCCAGGGAUCGAACCCUCAACUUCACGGAUACUAGUUGGGCUGGUUACUGCUGAGUCACAACGGGAACUUCCAGAGUUAAGUUUUUUUGAUGCUGAGAACAUUUCCAUGGGGAUUCCUCUUUGUCUACUUUUUCAGAAGACACUUUAACCCCAGGAUCCACACUCAUUCCAGAGUUCUUCCCUGAGACUCUAAAAUCUCAAUUCUGUUUGAUUUGUCUCAUGUGUUAGUGGCCUGCAAAUUUCAAGAUGGAGCCCUGGAAGGCAGAGAAGUGAAAGAGUUAAUGCCUAAACCCAAGGCCUAAAGGAAAUCCCUCUUUAUCAGCCAGCAUUCAAACCAUUUACCAGGAUACUCAGGAUAAUGUGAAUUUCCCUCUGCCAUUAGAGAUUAGGAAAUAGAUGUCCCCAAAGCUGAAAUUAUUUAUCAGUCCCUUGGAGACACUGAGUUUAAAAUUUACAGUGGGAGAGGAAAAAGAGGAAACUUUACUGAGUCCAACUACAUCUUAUAAAAAUAAGUCAUUUAUCCACAAAAUAACCUUGUGAGAUAAGCACCAUUUUCCCCAUUUUACAGAUAAGAAAACUUGAGAAGCUUAAGUGUCUUACCCAAGAUCACAUAGCUGGAAGUAAUGAAACCCAGAUUUACCCUCACCGCUGGCAUCCAAGUAAUAAUGUUUCAUUCUUGCUAACCCUCAUUGUGGUCUUACCCCAAUUAAAAAGAGAUAUGCUUCCUUAUAUUUAUGCCUUCAAUACUCCAUCGCUCUAGGUUGCCUCUUCAUUUAACACCCCCACUGGACCAGCUGAGGAAAUUAACCCUAAUUGUGCAAACAAACCACUCUUAAAAUCUCAGGGGUACAACCCAAUAAAGGCUUAUUUCUCACUCAUAUUUAGUUGAAAUCAGUUGGACACUUCUCCUCCAAGCAGUCACUCAGGGAUCCAAACUUCUUCUAGCCCAAGACACUGUAGCCUUGGCAUGCAACUUCCACUAUUUCCUUGGAAGAGAAAGAGGAUGGGGACAAUUGCACAGGGGGGUUUAUGGCCAGGCUUGGAAGGGUCACACAUGAUCCCACUGACCAGAACCCAGUUGCACACAACCUCAACCUAAAUGUGAGAAUAGAAAAUGUAGUCUUCCUACAUGUCCAGGAAAAGGAAAUAGGAUUGGUAAACAUUAGCUAGUCUCUGACACACCCACUGUAUCAAUCAGGGUUCUCACAGGAAACAGAUGGCAGCCCUAACUGGGAUUUUGAAUUUCACAAAGGUACUAUUUACAGACAUGUUGACGGAAUUAAGGGAACCUAUAGGGGCUUUCAAAGCAUCCAGGGACUAUUGAAAACAGGAAGUCUAUACCACCCUUGUUUGUAGUUUUGGUCCAAGAGCAAGGAGAGGAAAACAUGUUGUUAGAGCCCCAAAAAGGAGGGCUUCCUGACAGAAGCUGUAGUUGCAGUGGGCUGCAACCUCUGCCAGCACUGCAGUACCUGAGCGGGAAGGGGAUAGAGGCGAUAUCCUGACUCCGCCAUCCCUCAGAUCUCAUCGGCUUUGACCGGAGAUCUGAGGACACAAGAGCCUGUGCCGUGCAGUCCACGGUGGUCAUCCUUCCAGGGUGCGGAGAAUAGCAGACAAUGGCUCUUGAUAGGGUUUCACAAAAAUAAACACAUGCUAAACAUUCCAUCCGAGCAUCCCCCUUCCUUAUGAAGUAUCACUCGCCUUAGAUCCUUCCUUGUGUGCUCUCUCCCCAAAAUUCUGCCCUUCCAGCAGCUACCUGAGCUGGGCACCUGAAUUGAGUGCCCCACACCCUUCCCGCCCCACCGCCACACUGUCACAAAUGGGCUAGGGGAGAAUGCAUCCCUAGUUUUUUCCAGUAUGACUUGUAGAAACCAAUACACGGCUUCAUAGCAACUCAUAUUACACCCUGUCAGUCAGCAACCCUCUGUGAGGAGAGAGGAGAAGGCCAGGGAUGAGAGAACCUCUCAUCUGAGAGACUUAACCCUCUAGGCCCUGAAUGACUCAGGCCUACACUGCUUCCCAUGGUCACUGCCCCCACCCCUGUCCCUGUCCCUCUCCACUUUCAGUAACCCCUCCCCCACCCUGACCCUGCAUCAGACCUGGCUCAGUGCUGAUUGUGAUUAACUGUGCAGAUACCUUCACAGGAACUCGGUGCUCUUGCAGGGCUUGGAGAAGCAGCUGCAGUAAUUACAGUGCAGUUCUGGAAUGGAAACUAAUGGUGCGGGUUCAGAUCUGAAAUGCUUUUGAUCCUCUUCAUCAUUAAAAGGCCAUUAAAGGUACAACACAUAUAUUACUGGACAUCAAAUCCACAUUGAUGUAAAAAGAAAUUAGGCUGAUAAUUGUUCCCAAGGCCGUUAUCUCCAGUGAGGGAGGGCACAUUAUACCCAUGUGGUUCCACAGAAGGGCUUUCAUUGACCCUGAUCGGUCCAGUUUAGACAACAUUGAUUAAGCACAUUCUACAUGCCAUCCUAAUCAGAUAUCUACUUCUGUGACUGCCCUGAUUUAAACUGUGACUUUCAAGGACUUACACUCUGGUUUACAGGCUGAGAUCCAGGUGGGAAAAAAGCCUUACUGGUUUUGAAAGACCACAAAAGUUUGUGGCAAUGGCAAUGAAAGGGACUGCAUGACUUAGUGACUCCAGCAAGAAAGGCAAAACCGCAAUGUAUGAAAAGAUAAAACAGACUACAGAACUGUCUAAUAGAGUGCUUUGCAUGUAAUAGAUAUGUAAUCAAUAUCAGUUUAAUUAAGAAAUUAACCAAUGACCUAAAAGAUUCUCUCUUUAUAGGCUUCACAUAAGGAUGGGGAUGAGGCCAUUCUUAUUGGCUUUGAUCCUACCUCCCUUGAACUACUACCAAAGAAAUGCUCAUCCAGAAGACUUAACAUAGGCUAAGCCCUCCUCACUUAACCCUGUAUAUCCCAUUCCAAAUUAUCUGUCAGGACCCAGUAGAUUCAGCUACCCUUCUCCCCCCCAGCCUUGUCACCAUUGGACUCCUGGCCUAGAUCCUCAUGGACCUAGUGUCACUGCACUCAAUUUGUCAUCCAGGGUAUGAGGUUAGGUGACAACAUGGCAGUCCUAUUUCCAGGUUUUCUGAGAUGAUAAAGAGGAUGAGCAAAAUAUCAAGGUGGGAGAGUGGGAGUCCAAUGACUUCUUCAGAGACAGAGCAGAAGUAAACAGGGGUAUAGAGAGUCUCACAGAGCGAACAGGGUAUUAAAUACAGGCAUAUGGCUUAUCAUUUCUUAGAUUUUGGCAAGAAUAGUUUCAGAACCAUGCUGGACCCAGGCACUGCCAAAAAAAGAAAUUGGGUAAAAAGACUGUAACCAGUGUAGGUUUGAGCUGGAACAAGUACAGAGUCUCUUGGAGCCCUCAACCUCAGAAGCUGGGGCCAAGAUAUGACAGGAUUCUAGAGAGAGGGUGAUGCUGGCAAGCUCAGAAGAGACCAGGGGCAGGAAGGUCAUUCUUCACAUGUAGGCUGUUUUUCAAUCCAGGGCCACCUUCAGAAGGUAUCC